rnacentral:lncRNA from 1 species
UUUUUUUUUUUGUCUUUUUGCCAUUUCUUGGGCUGCUCCCUCGGCAUAUGGAGGUUCCCAGGCUAGGGGUCGAAUCGGAGCUGUAGCCACCGGCCUACACCAGAGCCACAGCAACUCGGUAUCCAAGCUGCAUCUGCAACCUACACCACAGCUCACGGCAACUCCAGAUCCUUAACCCACUGAGCAAGGCCAGGGAUCGAACCUGCAACCUCACGGUUCCUAGUCAGAUUCGUUAACAACUGCACACGACGAGAACUUCAUUCUUUAUAACUAUAAUUUUAAUGGUUGUGUCUACUUUUGGAUAUUUCCCAUGAACUUUGUGCUCUUAAAUUAUGCUGCUGUAAACAUCUUUUGAAAGAAACAAUGUUCUUUGUAUUCCAGAUAGGGCAUGGUGUUUGGAACACAGAAACAUAGUAAAUAUUCAAUAGGUAUUUACUUAGGAUAAAUGGAUGGAUGAUAAAUAAAUGAAUGAAUUCUGGGCUGAUGAUGUAAUCUCAGUGCCCACCCCCCCACCCCCCCCACCCCGCUUCCCCCAUUGAACAGUCUUCCCACUUUGGCCUACAAAGAUCUCAAGUUUAAAUGUUGGGGAGUUCCCGUCUUGGCGCAGCAGAAACGAAUCUGACUAGGAACCAUGAGGUUGCGGUUCCAUCCCUGGCCUCAUUCAGUGGGUUAAGGAUCCGGUGUUGCCGUGAGCUGUGGUGUAGGUUGCAGACAUGGCUCAGAUCUGGCGUUGCUGUGGUUCUGGUGUAGGCCAGCAGCAGCAGCUCCGAUUAGACCUCUAGCCUGAGUAACUCCAUAUGCCGCAGGUGUGGCCCUAAAAAGACAAAAGACAAAAAUUGAUUAAUUAAUUAACUAAAUGUUGGGAAGAGAAGCUUGAGAACUGGCUAGAAAGUAAGCUUUGGCUUCCUGUGCACCACACCCAUAUUGUUUGUAACAAUAAAUAAAGGCCCUUAGAGCCGCUGAGGGAAGAAAAGGGAGAUGAAGUCAUUUUCAUCACUACAAGACUUGGGAAAGUAAUCACUGCAGAUACUUGCCAGCAAGACAAGAAAUAAGAGAGCUAAGAGGGGAGGUAAUCGAGCAAGCUCAGAACAAUCCCAUCCCAUGUUCCACAAUGUACUUUUGAUCAUUCUUGUUCCCAAUGACAGGCAGAGAGGAAAAACGUUAUCAAGAACAAAAUGUUUCCCAGGUAGCUCUCUCACUCUCUAGAAAGAGUUGUGUCUAUUUGUUGAACCCAACUAUUAUGAAUAGUUGAAGCCACAAAGACUCUGAGGGGGUGGACACCCAUAGAAUUUAGAGUCCCCUGUGGAUCCCUGAUCUGGGGGAAAACAGCAGAGAUACCUUAAAGAAAAAUCAUGCGAUGAGACUAGAGAGCCCCCAGGGUUAGUUGGUUUCAUAUUCAUCUCAUAACUGGGUGGGUUCAGGCUCUUUUGGUUGGAGGAAAUCAGACCUGCUCCUUUGGUAGUAAAAAUAUAGAGGACAGUUAUUAUGGACAGCCAUGUGGCAAAGAGGAAAACAGACCAAAUUUAUCUGACUACAGGACCCAAUGUGAGCUGAACCGGUCAGGGCCUCCUGUCUGCCUAAGACCUCAACAUGGGUUCUUCUGGCUUAAUUUUGAAGGGCUGGUGCUGGGUCUUUGGGAAUAUCACUGGGUUUUUGCAGAGGGAAUACUGAGCCUAGGGUGGCUAAAGAGGACAGGAAAGGCCACUGCUGCAACAAAGGCAAUCCUCGUCAGGAAGGACCCUUGAAAGGUCAUUUCAUCUGUCCACGUGCCUCUACGUAGAACAGGCAAUUCCUUACAUUCAUUCAUUUACUUGUUUAUUCUCUUGGGGAAAACACUACCUUAACAAGACUGUGUGAGAUGUGCUCGAACAGAAGGUUUAGCGAGAAUGUCAAGGGCUCACAGGGGGAAGGUAGAGUAUGGUCAGGGAGAGCUGUGAGGUAGCUGAGUGAGCUCUUUAAAGGAGGAAAAAUCAAAAUGUAUUUAAGAAAUUGUUAGUAGUUCAGGGAAUGGCAGGAAAUCAGGCUAUGACUCUCAAGUGUGGUCAUGUAUUGAAGAUCCUUUACGUGCCAGGAGAAGGAACCAAACUUUAACGGGGAAAGAAAUAGUGGUGAUUUUAGGCAGGGGAGUAUGACCCCACAUUAACGCUUUCUUUUCUCUCCACUGCUCCAAUCUCCUUAUCCCACUAUUGGCAAUACUUUUAAAAAUUACGGACACACUUAUCUUUUGUGCCAGAAAUUCCACUUUGGAGAAUUUAUCCUACAGAUAUGCUUGCCCCAUGUGAAAUGACAUAUGACCAGGUUUUUCACUGCAGCAUUGUUUAUAUUAAUAAAAAACUGAAAACAACUUAAAUGUCCCUUGAUAGGUAAAUGGUUGAAUCAACAUAAUCUAUCCAUACAAUGGAACAUGUGCAGCUAUAAAAAAGAAGCAGCUCUUCAUGUAGUGAAAGAGAAAAUUCUCUAAGAUAUACUGUUAGGAGACAAAAGCAAGGUACAGAAAUGGGUAUACAGUAUGCUCAUUUUUAAACUAGUGUGAAGAAUACAAUGCAUGUGUAUGAUUUGCUGGUAUUCGCAUAAACUCUGUUAAGGAGAAAAAGAAAAGUCCUGAGUGACUAGCAAAGGGAGAAAGGCAGAAACUGGGCAUGUGGCUACAGAAAUGGGAAGAACUUUUCACUGUAUGACUUUCUGUGGGUUUUAAGCAUAUGAAUGUAUUAGAAAAUGAUACUUACACAUUCAUAUUUAAUUAAAAAGCUGUAUUUAUAUAUUUAUAUAUGCACCCACAGCAUACGGAAGUUCCCAGGCCAGGAACUGAAUUCAAUCAAGCCGCAGUUGCAGCAACAAUGGAUCCUUUAACCCACACCUCCGCAGUGAUCCGAGACGCUGCAGUUGGGUUCUUAGCCCACUGUGCCACAGAGGGAACUCCUUAAAUAUUCUUUGAUAACCAAGAAAGAGAGAAAGGGGAAGCUCUGUUUUUUUCCCUUUUUCCUCUGCAUGCCUCAGUCCUGCUUUUUACCUUGUCAGGACUUUCUUUUGGCUAGCUCUGUGGUUGAGGGCUCUCAGUGAUUAAGGGAGGGAGACAUACUUUUUUUAGACCUUUGUGUAGCGAGACCCAUUGCUGGCAUCUAGCUUGAAUUUCUUCAGAUUCUAAGUAGAAAAAGGCUGAGAGGUGAGGGGGAGAGGAGAGAAAGGUGCCUUUUACUUCCCUGUUUUCCUUUCACCCCUGCUAGCGCUAGAAGCAGUUUGUGUUUGCUAUGGAAACAGGAGCUUGUGGGGGAAGCUGGACCUCUGGCUUCUGUACCUGCAGUAGGCCAGUUGCAAAAAUAAAACCAUCGGGGAGCUAUAGGCAUCACAGUUUGAAAGGUAAACAGGUGAGAAAUUCUGGGGGCUGUGAGAGAAAAGGACAAGACUCACCUAAGGCUCAUUGCCUGAUGCUUACAGGUCAUCUGUGCUGUGCUGUUGCAGACCUGAAUCUUACUGGUCUGCUGUAGCCUGAGAGGGCUGGUCACUUAAACUCCCACCUACAUCCUAAGAACCUUCCCACCAUGCAAAGUUUCUUUUAAUCCACAAACUCUCUCCUCGCUGGUCUGGUGUGAAGUAUACCUCCAAAAACAGACCACAGCUCUCUGCUUUCUGUACUUUCCCCAGAAGCAGUUCACAGCAUUGAGGGAGGCAAGGGUAUAUGCACAGCACACCCCCAUGUUCUCCACACUCCUAGAACAGGAGUGCUAUGUAGAUUCUCUUUCCUUUUGAAUCACCUUCAUCUUUGAUCCCAAGAACAUCAAGCUUGGGCCAAUCUGGCAGCUGCUUCACUAAAACUUUAAACAGUUUGACACCCUGCAGAUUAGAAAUGGGAGCAGACUUGAUCAGGAAAGAGCCAGCAGGAUAUGGUGGGCAGAGUGAUCCCUUUCUCCCAUUCUCUAAGCCAAGAGUUCAAAAGAAGAAGGAAGGAGGGCUGGGUCUCAUUUUAAUAAGGAUGCUCUGAAACUUACACCUAUGCCUACUCUUCAUACCAUUAGAGAGCAGGCAAAGUAACCCUACGCACAUCUGAGGCCACAGAAAAUGAUGAAUGACAAAGUCAAUGCCACAAAGGAUGAGCGCCCAGCUCAGAGUUCCCCUUUCUUUGUGGUGUGUCCCUAAUCCUCAGGAGGGAGUCCCCAACAUAGCCAUAACUCUACCCUCUGGCCUGUCUUGUUGGCAGCAGGCUCAAGAGGUCUGCAAAUCCUGUAGCUGAGGUUCCAGAGAUGCCCUGGCCUCUGCCCUUCCUGACACUUAGUUGUUAAUUUUCCUUGGAUUCUGUAAUGUAUCUAAUAUCUUGCCCCCCCACCCCAGCCUUUUGCUCCCUGCUUAAAAAUGUCAGAGUCAGAACAAAACAUUUGGAAUUUAUCUUGGUUUUAGAGGCUCAGGACUAAUGAAGUGACAGUGAUGACGAUGAUAUCACACCCUAGUCCAAACAAACUUGACUUCUCUUCUGAACUACUGCAGCUGUCUCCCUGGGAUAUCCACCACUAACACUCUGGUUUUACUCUAUUUUCUGCCAAAUGGAUGCUGACAUUUUCACCAGUCACUCUUCUGAUUAAAACUCUUCAACGGCUUUCUGAUGGUCUUAGAAUAAUAUCUAAACUCUUUGGUGCCCAAUGUUCUUAUAAUAAAACCUAAAAUUCUUAGCAAAUCCUUCUUGCAGUUCCUUGCCCAAAUUCUUCCCAUUUCAGGCCCAUCAUACAUGCUAAUCCCAGUCUGGAGCCCUUUUCUCCCUACUCUUAGCCUUAGUUUUUAGGCCUUGGUUGAACCUUCACAGGAACCUUAAUUGUCUCCAAUCUAAAUUAGGUCCUCUUGCUAUUUUUUUUUUAAUGCCAUCCACUCUUUCCUCCAUAGCUCUAUCACAGCUUGCAAUUACAUAUUCAUUUUGGCAUCUCUGGGCAAUGUCUGCCUCCCCCACAAGACUCUAAAUGCCUUAGAGAGGUAGGGACUAUCUACCUUGCUCCCUGCUAGAGCCUCAGAGCCUAGCACAGAAACCAGCAUACAGGAGGUAUCCAAAUAUUUGAUGGAUGGUUAAAUAGGAAGAGGCUGGUAUGCUGGAGUUAGUUGAGAUUUAAGAUAAGAACAUGAAUUUGGAGUUCCCGUCGUGGCGCAGUGGUUAACGAAUCUGACUAGGAACCAUGAGGUUGCGGGUUCGAUCCCUGCCCUUGCUCAGUGGGUUAACGAUCCGGCGUUGCCGUGAGCUGUGGUGUAGGUUGCAGAUGCGGCUCGGAUCCCGCGUUGCUGUGGCUCUGGCGUAGGCCGGUGGCUACAGCUCCGAUUCAACCCCUAGCCUGGGAACCUCCAUAUGCCGCGGGAGCGGCCCAAGAAAUAGCAACAAUAACAACAACA